CUGAUCACAUCUUAACCAUUAUAUAUCUAACAUUCAUAAAAAAUCUAAAAUAAAAAUAAAAAUAAUAUAUUAUUUUAUUUUGAUUACUAGUAUUUUUUUGAACGUAUAAUGCUUGUGCUUUUUUUUGGAUAAAUUAUGUUCCUGAUCCCUAAAUUAAGUCGGAUUUUUUUAAAUGAUUCAUGAAUUAUAAAAUCUUAAAUUUUAGUCAUCAAAAUAUCCGAAUCGAUUUAAUAUUAUCCUCAAGUGUGAUUUCGAUAGUUUUUUCUCACCAAA
rnacentral:lncRNA from 1 species